CAGAGAUCAGUGUUACUUUGACACAGCCAAGGAACGUCGGGGGAUAUCAGAUGCUCCAAGAGGCAAGGAGGGACCCUCCCUUAGAAGCUUCAGAGGAAGUGUGACUGUGCUAUCACCUUGAUUUCAGACUUCUAGAACUUCUCCAGAACUAUGACACAGAGGAGGAAACUUAAACACAGAGAGAGACACCAGGGGUGGGUGCACACAGAGAAAAGACCACAUGAGGACACAAUAACAAGACAAGCAUCUGCAAGCUAAGGAGAGAAGCACCAGAGGAAACCGAGACUGAGGACAGCUUCAUCUUGUUUCUAGCCUCCAGAACUGUGGCCAAAUAAAUUUUUGUUGUUUAAGCCA